AUUGAACGCUGGCGGCAGGCCUAACACAUGCAAGUCGAACGAGUGGCGGACGGGUGAGUAAUGUCUGGGAAACUGACUGAUGGAGGGGGAUAACUAACGGAAACGGUAGCUAAUACCGCAUAGCAUCGCAUGUGCCCUGAUGGGUUUAGCUAGUAGGUGGGGUAAAGGCUAACCAAGGAGACGAUCCGUAGCUGGUCUGAGAGGAUGACCAGCCACACUGGAACUGAGACACGGUCCAGACUCCUACGGGAGGCAGCAGUGGGGAAUAUUGCACAAUGGGCGCAAGCCUGAUGCAGCCAUGCCGCGUGUAUGAAGAAGGCCUUCGGGUUGUAAAGCACUUUCAGUGGGGAGGCGUUACCCACAUAAGAAGCACCGGCUAACUCCGUGCCAGCAGCCGCGGUAAUAC
rnacentral:rRNA from 1 species